AUUGAACGCUGGCGGCAGGCCUAACACAUGCAAGUCGAGCGGAUGAAGGGAGCUUGCUCCUGGAUUCAGCGGCGGACGGGUGAGUAAUGCCUAGGAAUCUGCCUGGUAGUGGGGGAUAACGUCCGGAAACGGGCGCUAAUACCGCAUACGUCCUGAGGGAGAAAGUGGGGGAUCUUCGGACCUCACGCUAUCAGAUGAGCCUAGGUCGGAUUAGCUAGUUGGUGGGGUAAAGGCCUACCAAGGCGACGAUCCGUAACUGGUCUGAGAGGAUGAUCAGUCACAUGGGAACUGAGACACGGUCAAGACUCCUACGGGAGGCAGCAGUGGGGAAUAUUGGACAGUGGGCGAAAGCCUGAUACAGCCAGGCCGCGUGUGUGAAGAAGGUCUUCGGAUUGUAAAGCACUUUAAGUUGGGAGGAAGGGCAGUAAGUUAAUACCUUGCUGUUUUGACGUUACCAACAGAAGAAGCACCGGCUAACUUCGUG
rnacentral:rRNA from 1 species